rnacentral:rRNA from 1 species
GAUGGACGCUGGCGGCGUGCUUAACACAUGCAAGUCGAACGAAGCAUUUACGACAGAUUUCUUCGGAUUGAAGUUGUUUAUGACUGAGUGGCGGACGGGUGAGUAACGCGUGGGUAACCUGCCUUGUACUGGGGGAUAGCAGCUGGAAACGGCUGGUAAUACCGCAUAAGCGCACGGUGCUGCAUGGCACAGUGUGAAAAACUCCGGUGGUAUAAGAUGGACCCGCGUCUGAUUAGCUGGUUGGUGAGCUAACAGCCCACCAAGGCGACGAUCAGUAGCCGACCUGGGAGGGUGACCGGCCACAUUGGGACUGAGACACGGCCCAGACUCCUACGGGAGGCAGCAGUGGGGAAUAUUGCACAAUGGAGGAAACUCUGAUGCGGCGACGCCGCGUGAGUGAAGAAGUAAUUCGUUAUGUAAAGCUCUAUCAGCAGGGAAGAUAGUGACGGUACCUGACUAAGAAGCUCCGGCUAAAUACGUGCCAGCAGCCGCAGUAA